UACGAAGGGGGCUAGCGUUGCUCGGAAUUACUGGGCGGAAAGCGAACGUAGGCGGUGUUCCAUGUCAGAGGUGAAAGCCUGGGGCUCAACUCCAGAAUUGCCUUUGAAACGGGGACGCUUGAGUCCGAGAGAGGGUGGCGGAAUUCCUAGUGUAGAGGUGAAAUUCGUAGAUAUUAGGAAGAACACCAGUGGCGAAGGCGGCCAUCUGGCUCGGUACUGACGCUCAGGUUCGAAAGCGUGGGGAGCAAACAGG
rnacentral:rRNA from 1 species